AUUGAACGCUGGCGGCAUGCUUUACACAUGCAAGUCGAACGGCAGCGCGGGCUUCGGCCUGGCGGCGAGUGGCGAACGGGUGAGUAAUACAUCGGAACGUGCCCAGUAGUGGGGGAUAGCUCGGCGAAAGCCGGAUUAAUACCGCAUACGACCUGAGGGUGAAAGCGGGGGAUCUUCGGACCUCGCGCUAUUGGAGCGGCCGAUGGCAGAUUAGCUAGUUGGUGGGGUAAAGGCCUACCAAGGCGACGAUCUGUAGCUGGUCUGAGAGGACGACCAGCCACACUGGGACUGAGACACGGCCCAGGCUCCUACGGGAGGCAGCAGUGGGGAAUUUUGGACAAUGGGCGAAAGCCUGAUCCAGCAAUGCCGCGUGUGUGACGAAGGCCUUCGGGUUGUAAAGCACUUUUGGCGGGAACGAAAAGGACUGUGCCAAUACCACGGUUCGAUGACGGUACCCGCAGAAUAAGCACCGGCUAACUACGUG
rnacentral:rRNA from 1 species